GGGCAUGUAGCGCAGUUGGUAGCGCGCUCGCUUAGCAUCUUCCUUUCGAAGCUGCGAGAGGUCUCCGGUUCAAAUCCGGACUUGUCCA